CAGAGCGCGAAGCUCUUCUCUUGGUUUCUGCGCUCGUGAGGCCGCACCUCGAAUCCUGGGCUCAAUUUAGGCCCCUCACUCCAAGGAGGACAUUGAGGGGCUAAAGCGUGUCUGGAGAAGGGAGCGGAGCCGGGGAAGGUGCUGGAGAACAGGGGUUAUGAGGAGCGGCUGAGGGACCUGGGGGUGCUCAGGAGAAAAGGAGGCUGAGGGGAGACCUCAUCGCUGUCUACAACUGACUGAGAGGAGGGUGUGGCGAGAUUUCACUCAUCUCUACAUAAGCACCCAGAACAUCACCUGCUUUAGUGGACAGCAGUGACUCACCCAGGCAAGGCAGUACGCGUUCCCGCAGCUUGGCAGCCCCAUGGGUCAGGAGAUGAAGGAGGGAUUGAUUCAGAGGGAACAUUGUGCCUUCCUGAGGACUGGAUCCAGAUGGAAGGUCUAUCGUUCCCUUGCUUACUGCAAAAACAUUAAAGCCAUGCGAGGAGAAGGUGUGUAGGACUGAAAGCCUUCGCACAGCCCCUUUGACUGGAAUGAAACUCCAUCCGCAAAGGUAAGAAAGACAUUAAUUACAAAGAUUGCAACUGGCGACUUUACACAGCAAUUUCAA